GUGCUCACCGCCGCUUCCGGUCCGCGUGAGGUGCAUUCUCGCGCCGGUGGCGAGGUUAGGGCCGGCGUUGAGACGUGGUGCAGCGCAUAUUUUCACAAGUGGGUCUCCCUUGUCCGGGACUAUGGCCACCGACUCGUGGGCCCUGGCGGUGGACGAGCAGGAAGCGGCUGUCAAGUCGAUGACCAAUUUGCAGAUCAAGGAAGAGAAAGUCAAAGCAGAUACCAAUGGUAUUAUCAAAACCAGUACCACUGCCGAGAAAACAGAUGAAGAGGAGAAAGGUAACUACUUUUGGAUGCCCUUGGCAAGAGACGGUAUGACCCAGGGCUUGCCUUCCUGGAGCCAGGGGCACUCCAAGCUACAAGAUCCAGGAGAUGAGAGGAAUCAGAGAAGGAAUAGUCAGUGAGAGGAGGAGAACAAAACAAGUCCGAAAGCGGUAGCUCACACCUGUAAUCCCAGCACUUUGGGAGGCCGAGGUGGGAGGAUUCCUUUGGGCCAGGAGUUCAAGACCAGCCUGGGCAACGUACUGAGACCCCAUCUCUACAAAAGAUUUCAAAAUGAGCUGGGUGUGGUAGCACACACCUGUACU
rnacentral:sRNA from 1 species